AUCAGUUGGUAGAAUUUUUAUUGACAGAAAUCUCCCGGGAGGGAAGUGAUAAAGCUACUAGGUGUAUCCUAAGCGAGAUCUAGUUCUCUUUAGUCUUCCAGCUUUCAAAAUUAAUUUUCUUGUUUUCUUGCUUCCAAGUCUCAUUUAGGAUUAUUAACUCUUUUGCUUAGAAAAGAUUGUCCUUUCAUUGUUUUGCUUCGAAGCUAACAUUAGACUUUCCCCACCUA
rnacentral:lncRNA from 1 species